rnacentral:rRNA from 1 species
AAUUAUACCGUGAAACUGCGAAUGGCUCAUUAAAUCAGUUAUCGUUUAUUUGAUAGUACCUUACUACUUGGAUAACCGUGGUAAUUCUAGAGCUAAUACAUGCUGAAAACCCCAACUUCGGGAGGGGUGUAUUUAUUAGAUAAAAAACCAACGCCCUUCGGGGCUUCUUGGUGAUUCAUGAUAACUUUACGGAUCGCAUGGCCUUGCGCCGGCGACGGUUCAUUCAAAUUUCUGCCCUAUCAACUUUCGAUGGUAAGGUAUUGGCUUACCAUGGUUUCAACGGGUAACGGGGAAUUAGGGUUCGAUUCCGGAGAGGGAGCCUGAGAAACGGCUACCACAUCCAAGGAAGGCAGCAGGCGCGCAAAUUACCCAAUCCCGACACGGGGAGGUAGUGACAAUAAAUACUGAUACAGGGCUCUUUUGGGUCUUGUAAUUGGAAUGAGUACAAUUUAAACCUCUUAACGAGGAACAAUUGGAGGGCAAGUCUGGUGCCAGCAGCCGCGGUAAUUCCAGCUCCAAUAGCGUAUAUUAAAGUUGUUGCAGUUAAAAAGCUCGUAGUUGAACCUUGGGUCUGGCUGGCAGGUCCGCCUCACCGCGUGUACUUGUCCGGCCGGGCCUUCCUUCUGGAGAACCUCAUGCCCUUCACUGGGCGUGUUGGGGACCAGGACUUUUACUUUGAAAAAAUUAGAGUGUUCAAAGCAGGCCUUUGCUCGAAUACGUUAGCAUGGAAUAAUAGAAUAGGACGUGCGGUCCUAUUUUGUUGGUUUCUAGGACCGCCGUAAUGAUUAAUAGGGACAGUCGGGGGCAUCAGUAUUCAAUUGUCAGAGGUGAAAUUCUUGGAUUUAUUGAAGACUAACUACUGCGAAAGCAUUUGCCAAGGAUGUUUUCAUUAAUCAGUGAACGAAAGUUAGGGGAUCGAAGACGAUCAGAUACCGUCGUAGUCUUAACCGUAAACUAUGCCGACUAGGGAUCGGGCGAUGUUCUUUUUCUGACUCGCUCGGCACCUUACGAGAAAUCAAAGUUUUUGG